AAUCAACGCUGGCGGCGUGCCUCAGACAUGCAAGUCGAACGAUUAAAGCUCUCUUCGGAGAGUGUAUAGAGUGGCGCACGGGUGAGUAACACGUAAGUAAUCUACCUUUGAGUGGGGAAUAACCCGGGGAAACCCGAGCUAAUACCGCAUAAUGCAGCGGCAUCGCAAGAUGACAGUUGUUAAAGGAGCAAUCCGCUUAAAGAGGAGCUUGCGGCAGAUUAGCUAGUUGGUAAGGUAAUGGCUUACCAAGGCUACGAUCUGUAUCCGGUCUAAGAGGACGGUCGGACACACUGACACUGAAUAACGGGUCAGACUCCUACGGGAGGCAGCAGUCGGGAAUUUUGGGCAAUGGGCGAAAGCCUGACCCAGCAACGCCGCGUGAAGGAUGAAGUAUUUCGGUAUGUAAACUUCGAAAGAAUAGGAAGAAUAAAUGACGGUACUAUUUAUAAGGUCCGGCUAACUACGUGCCAGCCGCCGCAGU
rnacentral:rRNA from 1 species